UUAAGCGACUAAGCGUACACGGUGGAUGCCCUGGCAGUCAGAGGCGAUGAAGGACGUGCUAAUCUGCGAAAAGCGUCGGUAAGGUGAUAUGAACCGUUAUAGCCGGCGAUGUCCGAAUGGGGAAACCCAGUGCAAUUCGUUGCACUAUCGUUUGAUGAAUACAUAGUCAAACGAGGCGAACCGGGGGAACUGAAACAUCUAAGUACCCCGAGGAAAAGAAAUCAACCGAGAUUCCCCCAGUAGCGGCGAGCGAACGGGGAGCAGCCCGGAGUCUGAAUCAGCUUGUGUGUUAGUGGAAGCGUCUGGAAAGUCGCAGGGUACAGGGUGAUACUCCCGUACACUAAAACGCACAGGCUGUGAACUCGAAGAGUAGGGCGGGACACGUGGUAUCCUGUCUGAAUAUGGGGGGACCAUCCUCCAAGGCUAAAUACUCCUGACUGACCGAUAGUGAACCAGUACCGUGAGGGAAAGGCGAAAAGAACCCCGGCGAGGGGAGUGAAAAAGAACCUGAAACCGUGUACGUACAAGCAGUAGGAGCCUCUUUAUGGGGUGACUGCGUACCUUUUGUAUAAUGGGUCAGCGACUUAUAUUCUGUAGCAAGGUUAACCGUAUAGGGGAGCCGCAGGGAAACCGAGUCUUAACUGGGCGUUAAGUUGCAGGGUAUAGACCCGAAACCCGGUGAUCUAGCCAUGGGCAGGUUGAAGGUUGGGUAACACUAACUGGAGGACCGAACCGACUAAUGUUGAAAAAUUAGCGGAUGACUUGUGGCUGGGGGUGAAAGGCCAAUCAAACCGGGAGAUAGCUGGUUCUCCCCGAAAGCUAUUUAGGUAGCGCCUCGUGAACUCAUCUUCGGGGGUAGAGCACUGUUUCGGCUAGGGGGUCAUCCCGACUUACCAACCCGAUGCAAACUACGAAUACCGAAGAAUGUUAUCACGGGAGACACACGGCGGGUGCUAACGUCCGUCGUGAAGAGGGAAACAACCCAGACCGCCAGCUAAGGUCCCAAAGUCAUGGUUAAGUGGGAAACGAUGUGGGAAGGCCCAGACAGCCAGGAUGUUGGCUUAGAAGCAGCCAUCAUUUAAAGAAAGCGUAAUAGCUCACUGGUCGAGUCGGCCUGCGCGGAAGAUGUAACGGGGCUAAACCAUGCACCGAAGCUGCGGCAGCGACACUAUGUGUUGUUGGGUAGGGGAGCGUUCUGUAAGCCGUUGAAGGUGGCCUGUGAGGGUUGCUGGAGGUAUCAGAAGUGCGAAUGCUGACAUAAGUAACGAUAAUGCGGGUGAAAAACCCGCACGCCGGAAGACCAAGGGUUCCUGUCCAACGUUAAUCGGGGCAGGGUGAGUCGACCCCUAAGGCGAGGCCGAAAGGCGUAGUCGAUGGGAAACAGGUUAAUAUUCCUGUACUCGGUGUUACUGCGAAGGGGGGACGGAGAAGGCUAUGUUGGCCGGGCGACGGUUGUCCCGGUUUAAGCAUGUAGGCGGAUGUUCCAGGUAAAUCCGGAACGUUAUCAACGCUGAGGUGUGAUGACGAGGCACUACGGUGCUGAAGUGACAAAUGCCCUGCUUCCAGGAAAAGCCUCUAAGCAUCAGGUAACAUCAAAUCGUACCCCAAACCGACACAGGUGGUCAGGUAGAGAAUACCAAGGCGCUUGAGAGAACUCGGGUGAAGGAACUAGGCAAAAUGGUGCCGUAACUUCGGGAGAAGGCACGCUGAUAGGUAGGUGAAGUGGUUUACCCAUGGAGCUGAAAUCAGUCGAAGAUACCAGCUGGCUGCAACUGUUUAUUAAAAACACAGCACUGUGCAAACACGAAAGUGGACGUAUACGGUGUGACGCCUGCCCGGUGCCGGAAGGUUAAUUGAUGGGGUUAUCCGUAAGGAGAAGCUCUUGAUCGAAGCCCCGGUAAACGGCGGCCGUAACUAUAACGGUCCUAAGGUAGCGAAAUUCCUUGUCGGGUAAGUUCCGACCUGCACGAAUGGCGUAAUGAUGGCCAGGCUGUCUCCACCCGAGACUCAGUGAAAUUGAACUCGCUGUGAAGAUGCAGUGUACCCGCGGCAAGACGGAAAGACCCCGUGAACCUUUACUAUAGCUUGACACUGAACACUGGUCCUUGAUGUGUAGGAUAGGUGGGAGGCUUUGAAGUGUGGACGCCAGUCUGCAUGGAGCCAUCCUUGAAAUACCACCCUUUAAUGGCUGGUGUUCUAACGUGGGCCCGUUAUCCGGGUUGCGGACAGUGUCUGGUGGGUAGUUUGACUGGGGCGGUCUCCUCCUAAAGAGUAACGGAGGAGCACGAAGGUCAGCUAAUCCUGGUCGGACAUCAGGAGGUUAGUGCAAUGGCAUAAGCUGGCUUGACUGCGAGCGUGACGGCGCGAGCAGGUGCGAAAGCAGGUCAUAGUGAUCCGGUGGUUCUGAAUGGAAGGGCCAUCGCUCAACGGAUAAAAGGUACUCCGGGGAUAACAGGCUGAUACCGCCCAAGAGUUCAUAUCGACGGCGGUGUUUGGCACCUCGAUGUCGGCUCAUCACAUCCUGGGGCUGAAGUAGGUCCCAAGGGUAUGGCUGUUCGCCAUUUAAAGUGGUACGCGAGCUGGGUUUAGAACGUCGUGAGACAGUUCGGUCCCUAUCUGCCGUGGGCGCUGGAGAAUUGAGGGGGGCUGCUCCUAGUACGAGAGGACCGGAGUGGACGCAUCACUGGUGUUCGGGUUGUCAUGCCAAUGGCAUUGCCCGGUAGCUAAAUGCGGAAGAGAUAAGUGCUGAAAGCAUCUAAGCACGAAACUUGCCCCGAGAUGAGUUCUCCCUGACUCCUUGAGAGUCCUGAAGGAACGUUGAAGACGACGACGUUGAUAGGCCGGGUGUGUAAGCGCAGCGAUGCGUUGAGCUAACCGGUACUAAUGAACCGUGAGGCUUAACCUU
rnacentral:rRNA from 2 species